CUGGUUGAUCCUGCCAGUAGUCAUAUGCUUGUCUCAAAGAUUAAGCCAUGCAUGUCUAAGUACAUACUUUUGAACAGUGAAACCGCGAAUGGCUCAUUAAAUCAGUUAUGGUUCCUUAGAUCGUUUCUACUACAUGGAUAACUGAGGUAAUUCUUGAGCUAAUACAUGCGAAAAAUCUCGACUCACGGAGAGAUGCUUUUAUUAGAUCAAAACCAAACGGCUUCGGCCGUAACAUUUGUGACUCUGAAUAACUUUGGGCUGAUCGUAUGGCCUUGUGCCGACGACGUUUCCUUCGAAGGUG
rnacentral:rRNA from 1 species